ensembl:miRNA gga-mir-1453 gga-mir-1453
GUGCAGGCUCUCUGUGGCUCAGCCCAGCUGCGGUACUGCAUGGUGCUGGGCAGCCUCUCAGUGAGCUCUGUGCU